rnacentral:rRNA from 1 species
UACGUAGGGUGCGAGCGUUGUCCGGAAUUAUUGGGCGUAAAGGGCUCGUAGGCGGUUUGUCGCGUCGGGAGUGAAAACUCAGGGCUUAACCCUGAGCCUGCUUCCGAUACGGGCAGACUAGAGGUAUGCAGGGGAGAACGGAAUUCCUGGUGUAGCGGUGAAAUGCGCAGAUAUCAGGAGGAACACCGGUGGCGAAGGCGGUUCUCUGGGCAUUACCUGACGCUGAGGAGCGAAAAGUGUGGG